rnacentral:rRNA from 1 species
GGGUUGUGAGGUUAAGCGACUAAGCGUACACGGUGGAUGCCCUGGCAGUCAGAGGCGAUGAAGGACGUGCUAAUCUGCGAUAAGCGUCGGUAAGGUGAUAUGAACCGUUAUAACCGGCGAUUUCCGAAUGGGGAAACCCAGUGUGAUUCGUCACACUAUCAUUAACUGAAUCCAUAGGUUAAUGAGGCGAACCGGGGGAACUGAAACAUCUAAGUACCCCGAGGAAAAGAAAUCAACCGAGAUUCCCCCAGUAGCGGCGAGCGAACGGGGAGCAGCCCAGAGCCUGAAUCAGUGUGUGUGUUAGUGGAAGCGUCUGGAAAGGCGCGCGAUACAGGGUGACAGCCCCGUACACAAAAAUGCACAUACUGUGAGCUCGAUGAGUAGGGCGGGACACGUGGUAUCCUGUCUGAAUAUGGGGGGACCAUCCUCCAAGGCUAAAUACUCCUGACUGACCGAUAGUGAACCAGUACCGUGAGGGAAAGGCGAAAAGAACCCCGGCGAGGGGAGUGAAAAAGAACCUGAAACCGUGUACGUACAAGCAGUGGGAGCACGCUUCGGCGUGUGACUGCGUACCUUUUGUAUAAUGGGUCAGCGACUUAUAUUCUGUAGCAAGGUUAACCGAAUAGGGGAGCCGAAGGGAAACCGAGUCUUAACUGGGCGUUAAGUUGCAGGGUAUAGACCCGAAACCCGGUGAUCUAGCCAUGGGCAGGUUGAAGGUUGGGUAACACUAACUGGAGGACCGAACCGACUAAUGUUGAAAAAUUAGCGGAUGACUUGUGGCUGGGGGUGAAAGGCCAAUCAAACCGGGAGAUAGCUGGUUCUCCCCGAAAGCUAUUUAGGUAGCGCCUCGUGAAUUCAUCUCCGGGGGUAGAGCACUGUUUCGGCAAGGGGGUCAUCCCGACUUACCAACCCGAUGCAAACUGCGAAUACCGGAGAAUGUUAUCACGGGAGACACACGGCGGGUGCUAACGUCCGUCGUGAAGAGGGAAACAACCCAGACCGCCAGCUAAGGUCCCAAAGUCAUGGUUAAGUGGGAAACGAUGUGGGAAGGCCCAGACAGCCAGGAUGUUGGCUUAGAAGCAGCCAUCAUUUAAAGAAAGCGUAAUAGCUCACUGGUCGAGUCGGCCUGCGCGGAAGAUGUAACGGGGCUAAACCAUGCACCGAAGCUGCGGCAGCGACACUAUGUGUUGUUGGGUAGGGGAGCGUUCUGUAAGCCUGUGAAGGUGUACUGUGAGGUAUGCUGGAGGUAUCAGAAGUGCGAAUGCUGACAUAAGUAACGAUAAAGCGGGUGAAAAGCCCGCUCGCCGGAAGACCAAGGGUUCCUGUCCAACGUUAAUCGGGGCAGGGUGAGUCGACCCCUAAGGCGAGGCCGAAAGGCGUAGUCGAUGGGAAACAGGUUAAUAUUCCUGUACUUGGUGUUACUGCGAAGGGGGGACGGAGAAGGCUAUGUUGGCCGGGCGACGGUUGUCCCGGUUUAAGCGUGUAGGCUGGUUUUCCAGGCAAAUCCGGAAAAUCAAGGCUGAGGCGUGAUGACGAGGCACUACGGUGCUGAAGCAACAAAUGCCCUGCUUCCAGGAAAAGCCUCUAAGCAUCAGGUAACAUCAAAUCGUACCCCAAACCGACACAGGUGGUCAGGUAGAGAAUACCAAGGCGCUUGAGAGAACUCGGGUGAAGGAACUAGGCAAAAUGGUGCCGUAACUUCGGGAGAAGGCACGCUGAUAUGUAGGUGAAG